UAAUUAUUCGUAUUCGUUUUAAAGAAUGUUUUAAAUGUUUGUUUAAUGGAUUGUAUUAAUGGGUUAAGCAGUGAGCCUGCCUUUCGGCAAUGAUAAUGAUUAAUCGAUAAUAAAACAUCGCGCGGAAAAUCGUAUACGGAAAGAGUGUACGAACGAAAGGAGGACGUGUCGUUUAGCAUGAAGCAUAACCGAACGUGUUUUCGAAUAUUUUACUUCUUCGCAACCGUUUUUUUUUUUUUUUUUUUUUUUUUGAGGUUGUUAUCGUACAAUUCUAUCUUACGGACAAAUAAAAUUAAACAAUAAUUUUUAAAGAAAUGUUAAAAAGUUAUCGUGAUCGUAAAAUUAAUAUCGGAAAUUUUUGUUUCAAUUUUUAAUUAUCAUUUUGAACGGCAAAAGAUAGACAGUGUGAAAGAAUUGUUGUUCGAAUUUCACAUUUCUAUCGCGCGUGAUAUUCGAUGAACAAGUUUAUUAUUAUUAACAAUAAUGAAAAAAAAGGAAAGAUAAAUCAUCGACGACAAUAUCGUUAUCAAUUACAACAACUAUUUAGAACCACAUAAAAAUUUAUAUAUGAAUGACUAAUGACUAACAUGUGUCAUAAUAGAUGCAUAGAGUUGCAUCAACUCAAAUCAUAUUUGAGAUGGAAACAUCGUGAUUUCAAAAUUGUUUUAUCUUGAAUUACAUCAUGUGUUACAAUUUUUCAAAAGAAUUAAAAAUUUCACAAAAAAUAUUUUAUUUUUUUUUUUUUAACUCGAUAUACAAAACUUAUUUGGCGAAAUUUUGUAAAGUAAAUUUAAAUUCCAAAAAAUUAAAAAUUUCACAAAAAAUAUUUUUUUUUUUUUAACUC